rnacentral:lncRNA from 1 species
CAGUAACAGUGCGACCAGGUUCGUUUCGCCACCAUUCGCCAGGGUGUUUCCGCUCUCUAACUGGAUAUCGUGUCCCUGCCAUUUCCACAUCAGGCUGAUUAAUUCCUUGCCCGUUCGCACUGCUGGAAGGUCCAGCCCCAGCCGGCGCCCCCUCGCCACCCAAAUGCGGCAAUCCCUCGCCGACGGUGCUACCUGGUGUCCCUUUGCCAGCCCUAGGCAGCGAUCCCUCACCAGAUAAACUAGUGCGAAACUCCUCCUCCUCGUCGGCAUCGGACUCAUAAUCGGAGUCCCCGGCAUUACGCCGCCGGCCGACAUUAGACUCGUCAAAACGAACGUUAGAAACUACGGCAAUAAUGCCGUCCUCGUAUAAUACACGAUACUGUCC